UUCAAUAAAAAAGGGAAAGUCGGAGGAAAGUUACCUCAUUUCAAAGCUAAUUCCCAGUGGUUUCGAGAGAACUUUUACAUGGACAGUUAUCAAUUGCUACCAACAACCGGGCUCAUGGGAAUGCGGUUAUAUGUUGAUAAAACACAUGUGGGAGUUUGUUGAGACAAUUCAACAUGACUUUAUUAAUCGUAAAUGGAAUACACAAGAGAAGACUUCGGGUGAGGAAAUUGAAUCUAUGGUCGUAGACUUGAUGGAGCGUUGGAUUAAGGAGGUGUUUGGGAUUCGGACAUGAACUCCGUAAAGGUGUCUCAAGUGUUCAGGUUGCAAAUGAAUUAGGGAGAGGAAAUGCCAAAGCAGCCAAAUUCUCAAUUAAAGUCUUCUUGGGGACUCUUAUUGCAGUUGGAUUGUUUUUCUUUGUUCUCUGGUUGGUUUGAUUUUUGGAAGAAAACUUGCCUACGCGUUCACCACUGAUGAAAGAGUUGCAGAUACAGUAUCAGACCUUUCUUUGCUCCUUUCUUUUUUGGUCGGUUCAGGAAGUUAUUGUAUGUCAAUUUCAUCUUUAGAGUUAUUUGUAUUGUUGAAGUUCUGGAAAACUUUUGCAAUAUUGUGUUACUUUGAAAUCUUAGUAUUUUAUGUUCUUGGGUUGUAUUACAUUUGUUCUAAUUAA